UCUCCGAAUGGCUCAUUUGGUUAAAGCACUGCAUUGCGGAGCAAAAGUGUCUGGGUUCGAACCCCAGUCAGAGUA